GCACUUUUCCUCAAUGUUGUUGGGAUCUGGAGUUUUGUCCACUUUCUCCACCAGAGGGCGCACGAGAUCUCCUGGGGGCAUGAGCUGACUGCUACACCUGUCUUCAAUCUGCCAAUCAGGAGACUCCUUCUUAAGGAGGCAGAGACUGACACUCCAGUGCCAGAGUGUUAGCCAGUAAUGAACCUGACCUGUCUGAAAACCUGAAACCGGGAAAAUGACUCAGUCUGGAAUCUGCCUGCCUGCAUUCGGUCAGUCUCUGCCUGCCGACAAACCUCUGGACCCUCAGGGUUACCCCCCUCCUGCUGAUCUGACCCGCCCCAGAGCAGUGGUGAUCCUCCCGUGACCAGUCGGACCAACCCAGUUCCAGUGCACAUUUGAAAACUCUGUGAAUAAAUCUUUGAACUUUUUCUCUGUCUCCUGAGUGUUCUCUGCAUGUGGGUUAGACAUCUCAACCCCAUCAUGACAACUGUAUGCUUAUUGACGUUAUAACAUUAAGAACGAGUUGUUUAAAUAUACAUAGGUGGUGGUGCAUCCAAUGGAAGACACCUUGUUUUGUCCCCAUCUUUGAAUA